rnacentral:rRNA from 1 species
UACGGAGGGUGCAAGCGUUGUUCGGAAUUAUUGGGCGUAAAGGGCACGUAGGUGGUCUUGUAAGUCUACUGUGAAAUCCCUGGGCUUAACCCAGGAAGUGCGGUGGAUACUGCAGGACUAGAGUAUCGGAGGGGUGCGUGGAAUUCCCGGUGUAGCGGCGAAAUGCGUAGAUAUCGGGAGGAACACCGGUGGCGAGGGCGGUUCUCUGGGCCUGUACUGACGCUGAGGAGCGAAAGCGUGGGGAGCGAACAGG